CACCAAAGCCUAUCCCCCGCGGCAGUUCUCGGCCCGGCUCUGCCCUCCGGCGCCAACUCCACCCUCGGCCGGCGACUUCCCCCUAUGUCAGCAUCCUCGCUGGUCGGAGCCCCGCCGGCCGUCGGCGUACUCCCCGUUGCCACGUCGCGCCCCUCCCAACUCUCAUCGCCACACCGUCCCGCAAGAUGGGAUCCGCCAUGUCAAGAAGAACUGAUCCUGAUGCAUCAGAUCUCAUGAAGUAAAUCUCGAUGGUGGGGGAGAAGGAGAGAAUACAUUAAUCAGGUGCAGGUUCGAAUGACUGGCCAUUAAGUAGACUACUUUUACUCUCUGUGGGAGAGUUCCAGUUUAAGUUGCAAUUCCAACAUGAUUUGUACGUUCAUUGUUUGAUGAUGUAUAGUUUUAGCUUCCAGAAACUAGCAUCACUUUCGCCUAGUACUUACGAAGCAAAAUGACAUAUCUAUGUGGGUUUUUACUUUAUAGGUUCUGGCUUCACAUGACUUCGUGAGACUGACAAGGCAUAUUUUUUGGUCCACCACUAAUGGCUAGUGCGAUUAUUUUCAUGGAUUUUUGCUUACUUUAGCUUGGUAGAUGCUCAGUAUUUGUCUUACUUGUACCAUUUUGGGAAGUGUUUAUGCAUCUUAAUUAGGCAUGAGUAAGAUCAGAACAAGCCAAGUUAUGUACAUUUUGAAAAAGAUCCAAACUAGAUAUAGUUUUCCGCUCAGUUUGAUCCAGUACACCUGGUCAGGCAAAUUGUGGUUCGCCAACCUAUCUGAUAUAGCCUUGAAACAUUCUGAUUUUACACAAGUCAGCUAGGGCAUAGGGAAAUGCAUGUUAGUAUCUGACAAUGGAGGAUGCGACUCACUGUUGAGUCAACAAAUUGACCAGAUCAACGCCCUGUUACACACAGCUGCCCUAUACCUAACCCCUGAAAGAAACAAAAAAAAGUUGUAUCCCUCUCCCCAGAUACGGCGCAUCCAUGGCUCCUGACGGGGAUAACUUCCGACAUUGAUACUUCCCGGACAUCUGGGUGAUGCCGCUCG